ensembl:lncRNA
UGGGCUUUCCCAAGGAUGAAAUCCUUGUCUUGGAAGCAACUCCCUUUAAAUAUUGUCGACUAAAGCAUAUGACACAAGAAUUAGCUCUGAAGGACGGUCCUGGGUUUUAAGUUAAGCUUGACAAGGAUGAAACAUAAUUAACUGUAACUUAUUUCAGGGAUGUUUAACUGGGUGGUGAAGGUCGUGCCACAUCCUCCCAAUACACAGGAGGAUCUGGGGGAGGAGGCGAUCACUGCGAAUGGAAAAACAUCAACUCGAGGUACAUUUACAGCACUCUUACUGUUUUAAUGUGUUGCAACAUGAUUGUUUAUUAGGUUUAAUGUAAAAUAUAUGGUCACACUUCAUAUUUGGUGGGCUUACAAUGUACUAACAUAGUAACAAAAUUCCCACAUUUACUUCUAAUGAGUGUGGGGUAUGAUUAGGUUUUGGGGUAAAGGUUGGGUUAUGGAUAUAUGUUAAAAAGUGCAAGUAUUUUAAAUCAAAACAAGUAUGUACAAGUACAAGGCCAACUAAUAUAAAGUGUAGCACUGUCCAAAUAUACUGCAGGAUCAAAAUAUAAUAUACUAAUGCACAAUGAGCCUCUAUCUCUCUUAUUGUCAUGCAGAAAAGUUCAAUUCAGCCAAACCAGGUAGAGAGGAAGACCAAUCAUCUCAAACCUCAAAGGACAGGUGAGUCUUGACCGAUCUUUCCAGUAAAGUACACAAAAGACAUUCUCUGACUGUCUGGACAUGAGACAUGCUGAAAUCUGUUUGUUUCAGUGUUCAGAGUGGUAUGUUGAACUGGAUCUCCAACGGUUUUGCAAGCGCACUGCCCCAACCUGCAGGGAGUCCUCUUCUUACGAGAGCCAACCCUGAUACUAAAGUAUUGAUUUCAUGUCAACUAAAGUAGCUUGAUAUUUGAUACCAUUUGGUAUUGCAUAUUAAUGUGCACUCAAAGCAAAUGUAUUUUUUUUUUAUUUUGCAGUCACUUCAGGAUGAAGGUUCUACGGACAGGGCUGGAGUUAUUGGCUGGAUCUCACAAGGAAUUGGAAAGGUGGUCCCGCAGCCUGAUGAGAAACACAUACGGGACGAGACUCCAGAAUCUGAAGAAGUCACAGAGGUUUACGAGGCAAAGGACCUUCCAGAUCAGGAGCCUUUGGCACAUAUACAAGUAGUAGAGCUGGUGUCAGAAGACGAGAUGUCGGAGGUGGAACCAACCGCUCAGUUCCCUCCUAAUGUAAUGAACUGGAUAAAGAGCGGCUUCCAGAACGCUAUACCGCACCAUGUGACCAGACCCCCAAAUUCCAGUUCUUCCACGCCGAGGUCAUCACAGUGCUCAAACAAAGUUUAUUCACCUCCUCCAGAGUCGAUAACCAGCGUGACGGAGAUCGAAUUGAAAACUCCCAGUAUGGUGGGCUGGAUUGUUCAGGGUCUGGGUCUUUCAAUGCCACAAGCGAUGCUUAAAAACAAAGAAGGAUGUUUGGAGGACGGGAAGAUUGUGCAAAAUGGCAGUGCUCGGUCAGCUCCUGCAGACCUUGUUCUUGAGGAGAUUGACUCUGAAGAUGAGGCUCAAGAAAAAACAUGUUCAACAACGAACUCAUUGCCAAAUUCACAAACUCAGUCCCAACCACAAACACCUUGGUCGCCGGAACAAUCUCUUCCACUGAGUGUCACCACACCAGCACAAAUAGAACUGGAGGACGCAGAGACCCAAACCGCACGAUGGACGCCCAUGAUCGAGAACAUCAGAAGAGAGGCGGAGGACACCGCCAUAUUAAUUAUGGAGGAACGGUUGAUACAGGAGCGUCUGGCGAUGGCUCGAAUGGCAGAAGAGGUGGCACGGCAGACAGCAGAGAUGGCUGUCAGGGAGUUGGCACAGGCCCGGUUUGCCAUUCAGACCAUUGCAGAAGAGCCAGAAGAUGCUGAUCAAGAGUAAUUCAUGCACACCAACAAAAAAUCACUCAAACUAAUCCCUCUGUGUGUGUAUGAUAAAUGUGUAUACUUUAUAUGUUUUUGCUUCUGAAUAUUUUGUGGAAAUUGAUUCAUUACCACUCAAUGGGUAGGGUAAGUAAGAUUCAAAACUUAUAUAGUUUUAUUCAUGCAACAAAAUAUUUCAAAUAAGUGCUUUCUAUUCAUCAAAGACUCCUGAAAACAAAGUAUCAUGUUUUCCACAAAAAUAUAAAGCAGCACAACUGUUGGUUUUUCAGUGACCAAUUCUUGAAAUUUCAC